AUGUUUGACCCUGCCGUGUCGCCGCACUAUGAGGUGCUCGUCGUCCCGGAGGGUCUUUACAGGCGGGAAACACUGGACCGUGGGGUGGCGGCGUGGGAGUGGCCGCCGUCGCCGAUGUUGCUGCAAAUUUUCUCCUCGAGGACGAAUGGGUGGGAGGAGAGAUCAUUCCAGCGGCAAGGGGAGUCGUUCAGCACCGUCGCCGACCUGCCUUGGUCCGGCGACCCAAAAAGUGCUGUCUACUGGCGUGGACACCUCUAUGUGCACCACUAUUUUGUUAUGAGAAUAUCUUUGUCAAGCGGCAAGUACCAAGUAAUUAAACCGCCCCAAGAUAUUAAUUCGAGCAGAACUCCAAAACUACAGCUUGGAAGAUCAGAGAAGGGAGUGUAUCUCGCAUCAAUUGCUUCCCAUGCAGAGCGGCUUCAAGUUUGGAUCCUCGAUGAAUCUUCUGCUCGUCUCGAGUGGGUCCUAAAGUAUCAAGCAGAUAUUAGGCAUAUACUGUCACAUCGGGGCUACAAUCCGAAAGUUCAGGGGUCUUGGGUCAUGGAAGAUAGCAACUAUCAUUCUUAUCAUGAUAGAUUUCCUGAUUACAAAGAACAAGCACCACCGGAAAAUGGAUUUGAAUGGGACUCAGAUAAUGAGGAUGUUCUUGACACCAAAGAUAAGGUUGAUGGGGAGUGCAGAGAAUAUGUUGACAUUAUUGGAUUUCAUCCCCAGAAAGAAGUUGUCUUUUUGAGUGAAUCAUUGGAGAGAGGAUUUGCCUAUCACCUGAGUACCUCAAAGCUUCAGGACUUGGGAUACAUGUAUCCCACACAGUAUGAUGAGUUUGCUGAAGGCGGUAAAUUGAUCGAAAGCUCGUUUCCAUACACACCGUGUUGGACCGCAGAGUUCCCUACAAAUUAUUGA
rnacentral:rRNA from 1 species